UGGCGGCGUGGAUAAGACAUGCAAGUCGAACGAGAGAAUUGCUAGCUUGCUAAUAAUUCUCUAGUGGCGCACGGGUGAGUAACACGUGAGUAACCUGCCCCCGAGAGCGGGAUAGCCCUGGGAAACUGGGAUUAAUACCGCAUAGUAUCGAAAGAUUAAAGCAGCAAUGCGCUUGGGGAUGGGCUCGCGGCCUAUUAGUUAGUUGGUGAGGUAACGGCUCACCAAGGCGAUGACGGGUAGCCGGUCUGAGAGGAUGUCCGGCCACACUGGAACUGAGACACGGUCCAGACACCUACGGGUGGCAGCAGUCGAGAAUCAUUCACAAUGGGGGAAACCCUGAUGGUGUGACGCCGCGUGGGGGAAUGAAGGUCUUCGGAUUGUAAACCCCUGUCAUGUGGGAGCAAAUUAAAAAGAUAGUACCACAAGAGGAAGAGACGGCUAACUCUGUGCCAGCAGCCGCGGUAAUACAGAGGUCUCAAGCGUUGUUCGGAAUCACUGGGCGUAAAGCGUGCGUAGGCUGUUUCGUAAGUCGUGUGUGAAAGGCGCGGGCUCAACCCGCGGACGGCACAUGAUACUGCGAGACUAGAGUAAUGGAGGGGGAACCGGAAUUCACGGUGUAGCA
rnacentral:rRNA from 1 species